UUGAAAAAUUUUGAAAAACCGAACCCGAGCAUUCAGUUGGUUUCGGUUUCGGAAAAUUUUGAAAGACCGAACCCGAGCGUUCGGUUGGUUUCGGGUUUGAAAAAUUUUGAAAAACCGAACCCGAGCGUUCGGUUGGUUUCGGUUUUGGAAAAUUUUGAAAAACUGAACCCGAGCGUUCGGUUGGUUUCGGUUUUGGAAAAUUUUGAAAAACCGAACCCGAGCCUUCGGUUGGUUUCGGUUUUGGAAAACUUUGAAAAACCGAACCCGAGCCUUCGGUAGGUUUCGGUUUUGAAAAAUUUUAGAAAACCAAGGAAUUUAGGCUUGCAAAAAGAAAAUACUUUGAACAAUAAGAUAAACAACUUUGUACAAGACAUUUACAACCAGAAAAACUACCUUUUAAAAUGAUGAGCGAGUGCAGAUGAUUCAACCGAACCCGAUCGUUCGGUCAAUUUCGCUUCUUAUGUUCGAGAGGUAGUUUGUGGUACUGACUCUGAUUCCAUCAUACCUAGCCCUUGUAGUAUUUUGUUGAAUGACGCUUCAGGAAGAGCUUUGGUAAAGACAUCAGCCAGUUGAUCAGUGGUUCUAACAAAGUGUACUUCGACGUUUCCAUCUUCCACAUGAUCUUUGAUGAAGUGAUACCUCAGUGCUAUGUGUUUGGUUUUGGAGUGUUGCACUGG
rnacentral:lncRNA from 1 species